rnacentral:rRNA from 1 species
AACGCCGGCGGCGUGCCUGAAUACAUGCAAGGUAGAACGGUUGGAAGGAGGAGCUUGCUCUUCUGAUGAGUUGCGAACGGGUGAGUAACGCGUAGGUAACCUGCCUGGUAGCGGGCGAUAACUAUUGGAAACGAUAGCUAAUACCGCAUAAUAGUAGAUGUUGCAUGACAUUUGCUUAAAAGGUGCAAUUGCAUCACUACCAUGAUGGACCUGCGUUGUAUUAGCUAGUUGGUGAGGUAACGGCUCACCAAGGCAACGAUACAUAGCCGACCUGAGAGGGUGAUCGCCCACACUGGGACUGAGACACGGCCCAGACUCCUACGGGAGGCAGCAGUAGGGAAUCUUCGGCAAUGGACGGAAGUCUGACCGAGCAACGCCGCGUGAGUGAAGAAGGUUUUCGGAUCGUAAAGCUCUGUUGUAAGAGAAGAACGAGUGUGAGAGUGGUU